rnacentral:tRNA from 1 species
GGCUGUAUAGCUCAGUUGGCUAGAGCACGCGGUUCAUACCCGCGGUGUCAUUGGUUCAAGUCCAAUUACAGCCACCA